rnacentral:rRNA from 1 species
UCCUACGGGAGGCAGCAGCUAAGAAUCUUCCGCAAUGGGCGCAAGCCUGACGGAGCGACGCCGCGUGGGUGAAGAAUGCCGAGAGGUUGUAAAACCCUUUUCUCAUAGAAGAAUAACCAUUUGAGUUAAUGCUGAUGGGAUGACGUUAUAUGAGGAAUAAGCACCGGCCAAUUACGUGCCAGCAGCCGCGGUAACACGUAAGGUGCGAGCGUUGUUCGGAAUUAUUGGGCGUAAAGGGCUCGUAGGCGGCCUAUCAAGUCCCACGUGAAAGACCAGGGCUCAACCCUGGGAACGCGAGGGAAACUGGUAAGCUUGAAUCUUGGAGGGGGUACUGGAAUUCCUAGUGUAGGGGUGAAAUCUGUUGAUAUUAGGAAGAACACCGGAGGCGAAGGCGAGUACCUGGCCAAAAAUUGACGCUGAUGAGCGAAAACGUAGGGAA